rnacentral:miRNA from 1 species
UGGAAUUUUUCGCUGCGGUGGUU